CCUUCUGCCCAGCCAUUCACGCCUCUCACUGUUUCUCUUUCUCCCUCCCGCCGUGUUUAUAAAGCACGCAUCGCUUCGGUUCCUGAGUGACUCAACCCCGACACCGGUUUUUUAAAACUUGAGGCUUGGAAGGGAGGCCACCCGCUCGCCGCCUCAGCUGCCGGCUGUUUUCAGGGUAAACGCUAACGGGAAGCUCUGAGAAAACUAGAAAGCAGCUGCGUCGUUGUCGCUGGCGGGGGCCCCCUCACCCUGGAGGCAAGCUCUUACGUAAUUGCGGCAUGAACUCCCGCUUUCCGAAGAUCUGGUUAUGCCAAAAAAAAAAAAGGCGGAGGGGGUGUCCAAAAAAAAAAAAAAGGGAAAAAAAAAGCAACCAAGAAAAAGUCCUCACUCACCCACUGACAUGUUUCUCUGGACAGGAUCGAGCAGGUGGGGUGGCAGCGCCAGGCAGAAGAGGAGUUCAUCUUCCCCCGCUCGCCCUCACCAGGCGGCUCUGGCACCAGGAGCUGAUGCCUGCUGACUCCCCGUGGCUGCGUUGGUCCCCGAAGGAUCACCUUAUGACAGGCAUCGGAGCAAGAGAAGGACAAGGAGAAAACAAACUACAUUCCCUAAUGCGAGUGAUGAGUUUACGCAGUGAAAGAGCCACCUGUUGA
rnacentral:lncRNA from 1 species